UAGGGAAUCUUCGGCAAUGGGGGGAACCCUGACCGAGCAACGCCGCGUGAGUGAAGAAGGUUUUCGGAUCGUAAAGCUCUGUUGUUAAGGAAGAACGAGUGUGAGAAUGGAAAGUUCAUACUGUGACGGUACUUAACCAGAAAGGGACGGCUAACUACGUGCCAGCAGCCGCGGUAAUACGUAGGUCCCGAGCGUUGUCCGGAUUCAUUGGGCGUAAAGCGAGCGCAGGCGGUUAGAUAAGUCUGAAGUUAAAGGCAGUGGCUCAACCAUUGUAGGCUUUGGAAACUGUUUAACUUGAGUGCAGAAGGGGAGAGUGGAAUUCCAUGUGUAGCGGUGAAAUGCGUAGAUAUAUGGAGGAACACCGGUGGCGAAAGCGGCUCUCUGGUCUGUAACUGACGCUGAGGCUCGAAAGCGUGGGGAGCGAACAGG
rnacentral:rRNA from 1 species